GACGAACGCUGGCGGCGUGCUUAACACAUGCAAGUCGAACGGAAAGGCCCUGCUUUUGUGGGGUGCUCGAGUGGCGAACGGGUGAGUAACACGUGAGUAACCUGUCCUUCACUUUGGGAUAACUUCAGGAAACUGGGGCUCAUACCGGAUAGGAGCUCCUGCUGCUUGGUGGGGGUUGGAAAGUUUCGGCGGUUGGGGAUGGACUCGCGGCUUAUCAGCUUGUUGGUGGGGUAGUGGCUUACCAAGGCUUUGACAGGUAGCCGGCCUGAGAGGGUGGCCUGCCAAACUAGGACGGAGAUGCGGCACAGACCACUACGGGAGGCAGGAGAGGGGUAGGGAGCCCUACGGGCGGAAGCCUAGUGCAGCACCGCCGCGUGGGGGGAAUCAGCCUUCUGGUAGGAAACCGCAUUCGCCUGUGACGAAGCGUGAGUGACGGUAAUGGGUAAAGAAGCACCGGCUAACUACGUG
rnacentral:rRNA from 1 species